rnacentral:misc_RNA from 1 species
ACACUAAUUGAGGGAUUCUAACAGAAAGCCAUAAGCGAAAGAGGGAGCUCGCCCGAAAAGUGUUAGAGAUGAAGGAGGCUGCUGCCGCUGCCCAAGCGCAGAGACCAGCUUUGGUGGAAGUGCCGAGCUCUCCAUUCCGACCACAAGAACAGCCGGCCUCGGAAGUAGAGGUCAUCCCUUCGGAGCCUCCUGCUCGAUCAGCUGAACCUCCUCCUCCACCUCCUGCAUCUUUGAGUGUAGAGGGCGGUUCUUCUGGACCAACCAUCCCAGUCGGUCGAUCACUCUCCCGAGGUGCUCAGGUUCUGCUUCAAUCAUUGGAGAGGAACCGCUCGGUCGAUUUGGUGAAAGUCUUGGGCACUUCGAUCUGUUUUUUCGAAGAUCAGACUCAGAUGGGCCAGAAGAGCAUCGAAGAUCUUUUGACCCAGACGAUGAGCUUGGGCUUAGAAGCGGUCACGAACCAACAGAUGAUCAAGGAAAAGCCUCAUCUCUUAAGGAGGGAGAUCCUCAAGGCGGUUCAGGAUGCAGCGACUGCAAACACCCAACUUUCUGCUGCUAAUGAUCAAAUCAUUGACUUAGAGGGCCAAGUGAGAUCUUAUGAGGAGAGAACGACUCAGCUGGAGAGGGAACUUGAAGAUGCCCGAGCCUGCCGAGCUGCUGAUCUGGCUCGAUUCUCUAGAUAGAUAAGGGCCAAGGAGGGCGAAACUCUGGUGAAGGAAGCUGGUGCUUAUGUGAACGCUCACAGCGAUCUCCUAGCCGAGCUGGUGAAUACUGAAUAGAAUUGACUCCUAAUCAAUUGGAUAAAGUUGAACAUAGAACCUGAGAUCAGUUAUCAAUCAUAAAACAUAAGACCACUUAAAGAGAUCGGAAAAUCAUUGCACACGAACAUGAGAUCGGAUGACCUUGUGACCAAAUAUCGAUCAAAACUUUUAAACACUUGAAGAGUGAUUUGUAAAAUUGUAAGGAUUUGAAAAAUGGCUUGAGAUCAGGUCAUAGUUGAAAUAACUUAUUAGGAUCGGGACAAGUAUUUAGAGAUAGGAUGAAACAUUAACUUUGUUAAGAAAUGUUUGAACAAAUCGAGCAAGAUACUUGGUCACAAAACUAAAUCGUAAUUUGGAAUUUUGAAGUGUUUGAACACAACGAGAUCGGAAAACAACAAAACGUAAAAUUAGAUGGUCCGAAGAUUGGAUAUCGAUCUGAACAGGUCAAACAAAGACAAAGAAAUCGGAAAAUAAUCUAACCUGAGCGUGCAUGAGGUCGAAUA